GAAAUGUGAUAAGUAAUGUGAAUUGCAGAAUCCAGUGAAUCAUCGAAUCUUUGAACGCAUCUUGCGCUCCUUGGCAUUCCGAGGAGCAUGCCUGUUUGAGUGUCAUUAAACCUAUCAAAACACUUUUUUUCAAGUAAGAAAAGUGUUUUGGACUUUGGGAGUAUUGUGCUGGUCUGUUUGACCCAGCUCUCCUCAAAAGCAUUAGCUUUGGAGACCCAUCAGUGUGAUAAUUUAUUUGUUUACACUGGCUUCUCCUUUUAAAUAUGCACCCUUUGACCUCAAAUCAGGUAGGACUACCCGCUGAACUUAA
rnacentral:rRNA from 1 species